AGAGUUUGAUCCUGGCUCAGGAUGAACGCUAGCGGCAGGCCUAAUACAUGCAAGCCGAACGGCAAGUUGAGUAGCAAUACUUGACCUAGAGUGGCGUAAGGGUGCGUAACACGUAUGCAAUCUGCCCACAACAGGAGGAUAGCUCCCCGAAAGGGGAAUUAAUACUCCAUAAGAUCACGCGAGGGCAUCUGAGAGUGAUUAAACCAAAAGGGGUUGUGGAUGAGCAUGCGGUUGAUUAGCUAGUUGGUAAGGUAACGGCUUACCAAGGCGAUGAUCAAUAGGGGAACUGAGAGGUUUAUCCCCCACACUGGCACUGAGAUACGGGCCAGACUCCUACGGGAGGCAGCAGUAGGGAAUAUUGGACAAUGGGCGAGAGCCUGAUCCAGCCAUGCCGCGUGCAGGAAGAAGGCCUUCUGGGUUGUAAACUGCUUUUGCCAGGGGAUAAAAAGUCCCUGCGGGGAAAAUUGAAGGUACCUGGUGAAUAAGCCACGGCUAACUACGUGCCAGCAGCCGCGGUAAUACGUAGGUGGCAAGCGUUGUCCGGAUUUAUUGGGUUUAAAGGGUGCGUAGGCGGCCCUGUAAGUCAGUGGUGAAAUACGGCAGCUCAACUGUCGAGGUGCCAUUGAUACUGCAGGGCUUGAGUACAGACGAGGUAGGCGGAAUUGACGGUGUAGCGGUGAAAUGCUUAGAUAUCGUCAAGAACACCGAUAGCGAAGCAGCUUACUAGGCUGUAACUGACGCUGAGGCACGAAAGUGUGGGGAUCAAACAGGAUUAGAUACCCUAGUAGUCC
rnacentral:rRNA from 1 species